rnacentral:lncRNA from 1 species
UUGAGAAUGUUGCCUGUCUGAGCCCUGAGAUGAGCUGAGGGUUCCUCCUCCCCAGCCAGCGCCAGCCUCACACAGCCCUUGUAAAUCUGAAAGUGCUGUUGGUAGCAACCAGGGAUGGGCAGAGGCAGCCCUGUCCUGAGGGUGACAUGAAAGUGAGAGCAAGCUGAAGCUCCAGUUGGCUUAGUCUUCAAAAGUGUCACUUUCAGAUUAUAUCCCUCAGCUUUAAAAUGUCCUUCUUUGAAGUCCAUCCUGCUCCGCCCACUAUUUGUCCCCGGUGGUCACUUCCUCCUCUGUGCUCCCAUGGCCUGGGAUUCACACCAGGAAAGAACGCCACGAAGAAGGAAUGACAAGAAAAUGGAGGCAAAGAACAUUGGAGUCACUCCCUGGCUACACACGCUGAGGUGAUAACCAAGGUGCUCAAAAAGGGCCGGUGUGCAGCAGUGAGUGCCAGUUUGAAUGAAGGAAGCAUGCGUGGCCUGAAGCCUCACCGUGUUCCAGGCGUCCAGUUAAGUGCUCUGCACAUAAUAUCGCACAUUGCGCUCCACGAUAAGGGUCUGGAAAGCAAUCCUCCACAGAAAGAAAGCAGAAUCUUCUGGGCAUUUCUGAGCAAGUGGACUUCCUUCAGCUGAGCACAGUCUUCAGGAGAAGCGGACAGGUGCAAAGUGUUGGAAGCCAACACUCACAGCAGUUGGGGGUUGGAGUGCUCUGGCUUCCAACAGCAUUGAAACCAACAGCAUUGACUACAG